GAUGAACGCUGGCGGCGUGCCUAAUACAUGCAAGUCGAGCGGACAGACGCUGAUCUUGCUGCUCUGACGUUAGCGGCAGGCGUGUGAGUAACACGUGUAUAACCUACCUAUAAUACUGGUAUAACUUCGGGAAACCGGAUCUAAUACCGUAUGAUAUAUUGAACCACAUUGGUCGAUGGUAAAAUACGGUGUUUGGGUCACUUAUAGAUGGAUCCGCGCCGCAUUAGCUGGUUGUGAAGUUAACGGCUUACCAAGGCAACGAUGCGUAACCGACCUGAGAGGGUGAUAGGCCACACUGGAACUUAGACACGGUCCAGACUACUAAGGGAGGCAGCAGUAGCGAAUCUUACGCAAUGGGCGAAAGCUUGACGGAGCAACGCCGAGCGAGAGAUGACGGUGUUCGGAUCGUAAUACUCUGUUAUUAGGGAAGAACCACUGUGUACGUAACUAUGCACGUAUUGACGGUAACUAAUAAGAAAGCAACGGCUAACUACGUG
rnacentral:rRNA from 1 species